rnacentral:rRNA from 1 species
GGGUGAGUAAUAUAUCGGAACGUGCCCAGUCGUGGGGGAUAACGCAGCGAAAGCUGUGCUAAUACCGCAUACGAUCUCUGGAUGAAAGCGGGGGACUCGCAAGAGCCUCGCGCGAUUGGAGCGGCCGAUAUCAGAUUAGCUAGUUGGCGGGGUAAAAGCCCACCAAGGCGACGAUCUGUAGCUGGUCUGAGAGGACGACCAGCCACACUGGAACUGAGACACGGUCCAGACUCCUACGGGAGGCAGCAGUGGGGAAUUUUGGACAAUGGGCGAAAGCCUGAUCCAGCAAUGCCGCGUGCAGGAUGAAGGCCUUCGGGUUGUAAACUGCUUUUGUACGGAACGAAACGGUCUGCCUUAAUAUGGUGGGCUAAUGACGGUACCGUAAGAAUAAGCACCGGCUAACUACGUGCCAGCAGCCGCGGUAAUACGUAGGGUGCGAGCGUUAAUCGGAAUUACUGGGCGUAAAGCGUGCGCAGGCGGUUAUAUAAGACAGAUGUGAAAUCCCCGGGCUCAACCUGGGACCUGCAUUUGUGACUGUAUAGCUAGAGUACGGUAGAGGGGGAUGGAAUUCCGCGUGUAGCAGUGAAAUGCGUAGAUAUGCGGAGGAACACCGAUGGCGAAGGCAAUCCCCUGGACCUGUACUGACGC